GCCCCCUACCCCCAUGGCACAAUGGGUUAGUGUGUCUGGCUGUUACUCAGAUGGUUGGUGGUUCAAGUCCACCCAGGGCCA